rnacentral:lncRNA from 1 species
GACACAGCAGGGCCUGCUGGGCACGGCGGCCGGGGUCCUGCUCAGCAUCCUCCUCCUGGGCGCCGUCCUCGCCGUCCUCGCCGUCCGCCGCUUCAAGGCGCUGCUGCUGGAGGCCAGGGCCGAGCAGAGCCGCAGCAGCUAUCGCCGUUUCUGCCGCCUGGACGAUGUCUCUGCCCAGUACUGGUCCGGCUCGGGGCUGCCCUCGGCCAGCUCGCUGGACAACCCGGCCUUCAGCAACUCGGAGGAGCUGCUGCAGCUCCGGGUCCUGGACAGCGGCUGCCAGGGGGACUCGGCUGUCACCAACGGUGCCAAGCGGGGCCCGGCGCCCUGCGCCCACCCGCAGUGCCAGCCCAGUUUCCAUUACGACUGGGACACCAGCUCCAGCAGCAUGAAUGACCCCAUGGUGGACUCGGGGAAAGCCAGCGACAUCUCCGUGUCGAGCUGGCCCAUGGAGCCCAUCCAGUGGGCUCCCUUCCCUCUCCUCCACCAGCUCUCCAGGCAGCGACCGCGCAAGGCCCGCUGGCCGCAGUCGUUCUGCGAGGGGCUGGAGCUGGGCACCCUGGAGCGGAGCUGGACGGCCUGAGGCCACGGACAACGGACAGCAACGAGGUUCAGCUUUAAAACCAACCACAUUUUAUUUCCACGUAACGAGCUCAGUGAAGGAAUUCCACACACUUGGACGAUACAAUCAACACGGGUGUGAUGUCAGUGAUGUCAGUCCCAGCGGGGCGGGGGCCCGGCGAGCCCCUGCCCCGGUUCCUGUCCGGGCCUCGCACGCUCUGGCUGGGACUGCGGACUCCAGAGCAGGCAGAUACAGAGAGGUGUCAGGACACACAGUGCUGGCAUCCACCAGGUCAGGACUUACAGGGGCAGUCCGGGCAGAAAGGCUGGCGGCUCCGGAGGGCGCGUGGCGCUCGGGCCAGGACGAGCUCAGCCACACCGCGGGGAGAUGCACGAAAGCGCUGCUGCGUCGUUCAUCACCAUUCAUGUCAAUGAGGUAUAAACACCAGGAUGUUGUAAGCAUUAAAGUUUAUUUUCCAAAAUGCUCUCCUUAUUCGCACGUGUCCUCUGGAGCAUCGAGCUGGGCACAAAUGGUGGGGGCUGGAAAUGGGGCGCUGCACGGAGGGAGAGGGCAACGGGGUCCCAAAGGUGCUCGGAUAGAAAAGGAAAAGCAAGCUGCAGUUCUACACUUAGACUCUCAUAGUCUCAGAGGGGGCACGUUGAGGGAGAUUUUUGCUAGAAUAAAAUGCAGAUCUCUUCAUAAAAAAAUCAGUUUGCUAAAAGAAAAUUCAACCUAUGGGAAUACAGAGCUAUCGGAUCGGUCGAUAUUCUCAUCGUAUAGAAAACAGCCUACAAAUAAAGUCACAAAAAAUAGACAGUUAUAUGCUGAGCAGCCAAAAACAUCAUGA